UCCAGACUCCUACGGGAGGCAGCAGUGGGGGAUAUUGCACAAUGGGGGGAACCCUGAUGCAGCGACGCCGCGUGGGUGAAGGAGCGUUUCGGCGCGUAAAGCCCUAUCGGCAGGGAAGAAGGAGGACGGUACCUGACUAAGAAGCCCCGGCUAACUACGUGCCAGCAGCCGCGGUAAUACGUAGGGGGCAAGCGUUAUCCGGAUUUACUGGGUGUAAAGGGGGCGCAGACGGCAGCGCAAGCCAGGAGUGAAAGCCCGGGGCCCAACCCCGGGACUGCUCUUGGAACUGCGCGGCUGGAGUGCAGGAGGGGCAGGCGGAAUUCCUGGUGUAGCGGUGAAAUGCGUAGAUAUCAGGAGGAACACCGGUGGCGAAGGCGGCCUGCUGGACUGCGACUGACGUUGAGGCCCGAAAGCGUGGGGAGCAAACAGGAUUAGAUACCCCUGUAAU
rnacentral:rRNA from 1 species